rnacentral:rRNA from 1 species
AUGUCGACUGCAGGGAUAAUCAAAGUCUCCGCUGCUUGCCCCGUGUUCGAUGGAACAGAAUAUCCCUACUGGAAGAAUAAGAUGCGCAUGCAUCUUGAAGCCAUUGAUGUCGACCUCUGGUAUGUCGUCAAGAACGGCGUUCCAAAGACUGGUGAAGGUGUCACCCUGCUGAUGUCAAGAAGUUCAUUCAACUGGACUCGACUGCAAAGAACAUCAUCUGUGUUAUCUGACCAAAUGACAGUAUGGCCGUGUGAGUGCUCUGGAAACGUCAAAGCUAGUCUGGGACUGGCUACCCAAGGUCAACGAAGGCGUCUCUACACAAAGAGACCAGAGGAUCAGUGUUCUUCACAAUCUCUUCAACCGCUUCAAGAGAAACGACAAUGA